rnacentral:tRNA from 1 species
UGGGAUUUAGCUCAGUCAGGUUAGAGCGGCGGUCUUGUAAACCGUGUCCGCCACAAGUCCAAAUCUUGUAAUCCCAA